UACGAAGGGGGCUAGCGUUGCUCGGAAUCACUGGGCGUAAAGGGUGCGUAGGCGGGUCUUUAAGUCAGGGGUGAAAUCCUGGAGCUCAACUCCAGAACUGCCUUUGAUACUGAGGAUCUUGAGUUCGGGAGAGGUGAGUGGAACUGCGAGUGUAGAGGUGAAAUUCGUAGAUAUUCGCAAGAACACCAGUGGCGAAGGCGGCUCACUGGCCCGAUACUGACGCUCAGGCGCGAUAGCGUGGGGAUCAAACAGG
rnacentral:rRNA from 1 species